rnacentral:rRNA from 1 species
UACAGAGGUCUCAAGCGUUGUUCGGAAUUACUGGGCGUAAAGAGCGCGCAGGCGGUCGUUCAAGUCGCGUGUGAAAGCCCCCGGCUCAACUGGGGAGGGUCACGCGAUACUGAUCGACUCGAAGGCAGGAGAGGGAAGUGGAAUUCCCGGUGUAGUGGUGAAAUGCGUAGAUAUCGGGAGGAACACCAGUGGCGAAGGCGACUUCCUGGCCUGUUCUUGACGCUGAGGCGCGAAAGCUAGGGGAGCAAACGGG